ensembl:lncRNA
UGAAUAAAUAGCGGGGGGAAAGAAAUACGGUGACUGAUGCGGUUGGAAGUGCAUACAGUACAUAAAUAUUAAAGUAAGUGAUUGAUUGCACUCAGGGGUCUAUUUCAGAGCUAGUGAACUCAAGCUGCGAUGUAAUUAGCAUGGGGACACCCUGCCGAAGGAUUAAGAUGAUGGGCUGCUUCUUUAUUUCGGCUCAUCAUGUUGGGCUACGAGCAGAUCGGCGUGAAAUUAGUCUCUGGCCCCGGGGAGGGUUCGGUCUGCACAGGCUGGCCCUUAAGGAGCCUUGUGUUACAGGAUGGGCUGUGGGCCUCUUCCUGUUGAUAAGACCCUGCUGGGCGUAGCACAACAUAACGGCGAUGACGACGAGGACAAGUUGCAGAAGGAGGCAGCCCUAAUCAAUAAAAACAUGAGGCAAUUAGUGUGUAGCGCUCACAUUUCUUCAGGGAAAAAUAAAGUGUGGGGUGAUCCAAG